AGAGAGAGUUAAAAGCACGUGAAGCCGUUGAAAGGGAAACGCGCUCGGCUAGCAAUGUGCCUUGGCGGUUCAGCCGGUUUGGGCGGGAAGGCCGUCGUCGUCGGAUCCGAAUGGACCGCGGCGGUGGUCGUUCUUGUUCGAACUGCGGUGCACUCUGCCAGGGCACGCGUCAGCGUCGGUUCGCAGUUCAGGCGACAAGGCCGGGAGGAAGGUGGCUCGGGGCUCGCCCUGAGCGUUACAGCCUCCCGUGCUGGGUCUGGUGCGGACCGAGGAGAGAGAGGAUCGCUGCAGCGCAUGCCGCAAGGCUAGCUGCCCGUUGCUCGGCUUGCUUCACAGGCUGUGGACUGCACGCAGUGUUCGGCUUGGCGAGGUGGUCGGGUGGUGGAGCGGUAUAAAUGCGCUUAGGACGCUGGCGUCCAAAUGGCCGUGCGCGACCCGUCUUGAAACA
rnacentral:rRNA from 1 species